ncrna:unclassified sequences chromate-resist RNA
UGGGGUAAGGCAGACACCCCAUUAGACGGCACACGUCCAAGCUCUGC